AUGCUUAGAAGAAAGUACCAAGGUGGUUCCUCAGCAAAGAAAGGGCCAAGGAUUGCUAUACGUGAACAAGAUGUUGAAUUGCCGAGGGACGCGGAUGUACGAGCUUGUGAAUGGCCAUCCGAUGAUUUUAUGGUCGAAGCAGGCGUCAAGGAGGAAUUUGACGCGUAUGUGCAUAAUGCCGAGCUGGAGGACUUCUUACAAGAUAAGUGUCCACAGUACUAUCAAUUGACUGAUUCCUUUGUGCGGAGGUUCCAAUAUAACUAUGCGCGUAAUUCUCCUAGUGUCAUGUUUGAUAUUUAUGAUACGUCUUAUACCAUGGAUUUAGAGGAUUUCACAUUGCUUGCAAACUCCCGCAGUGGGGUAAUAUUAAUGAUCCUCGCAAAUCUGAAUUUAGAGAUUUUCUUGCUAGUAUUACUGUGGGAGAAUCUAGGGACAUAG
rnacentral:rRNA from 1 species